GUCCACGCCGUAAACGAUGGGUGCUAGGUGUGGGCGGUGUCGACUCCGUCCGUGCCGAAGCUAACGCAUUAAGCACCCCGCCUGGGGAGUACGGCCGCAAGGCUAAAACUCAAAGGAAUUGACGGGGGCCCGCACAAGCAGCGGAGCAUGUGGUUCAAUUCGACGCAACGCGAAGAACCUUACCAAGGCUUGACAUGCACAGGAAUGUCCGGAGAAAUUCGGCAGCCCUUCGGGGCCUGUGUACAGGUGGUGCAUGGCUGUCGU
rnacentral:rRNA from 1 species